ACAUAUAAACUCACUACAUAGAUGCCGUAUAUAGAUUGUUAUGUGAGAAU
rnacentral:guide_RNA from 1 species